rnacentral:rRNA from 1 species
GAUGAACGCUGGCGGCGUGCCUAAUACAUGCAAGUCGAGCGAACGGACGAGAAGCUUGCUUCUCUGAUGUUAGCGGCGGACGGGUGAGUAACACGUGGAUAACCUACCUAUAAGACUGGGAUAACUUCGGGAAACCGGAGCUAAUACCGGAUAAUAUUUUGAACCGCAUGGUUCAAAAGUGAAAGACGGUCUUGCUGUCACUUAUAGAUGGAUCCGCGCUGCAUUAGCUAGUUGGUAAGGUAACGGCUUACCAAGGCAACGAUGCAUAGCCGACCUGAGAGGGUGAUCGGCCACACUGGAACUGAGACACGGUCCAGACUCCUACGGGAGGCAGCGGUAGGGAAUCUUCCGCAAUUGGCGAAAGCCUGACGGAGCAACGCCGCGUGAGUGAUGAAGGUCUUCGGAUCGUAAAACUCUGUUAUUAGGGAAGAACAUAUGUGUAAGUAACUGUGCACAUCUUGACGGUACCUAACCAGAAAGCCACGGCUAACUACGUG